GCAAAGUUAAGCUUUUCUUGAACUGAGUCUCAAAUAGCUCGUGAGCAACUUUAUUCAUUUGCGGCCUUACAACAUUCUCAAUCUUUGGUCUAGAUGGGUCUGUUUGGAAUUGAAACCGUAAAGCGUAAACCUUGCCCUACCUCCCUUAGGCCUUAGCUCUCACCAACGACCCUCCCCAAGUAGUAAGCGAUGGCACUAACAGAAAAAGAAGAGAGAGAGAGAGAGA
rnacentral:misc_RNA from 1 species